GACGAACGCUGGCGGCGUGCCUAAUACAUGCAAGUUGAGCGCUGAAGGUUGGUACUUGUACGGACUGGAUGAGCAGCGAACGGGUGAGUAACGCGUGGGGAAUCUGCCUUUGAGCGGGGGACAACAUUUGGAAACGAAUGCUAAUACCGCAUAAAAACUUUAAACACAAGUUUUAAGUUUGAAAGAUGCAAUUGCAUCACUCAAAGAUGAUCCCGCGUUGUAUUAGCUAGUUGGUGAGGUAAAGGCUCACCAAGGCGAUGAUACAUAGCCGACCUGAGAGGGUGAUCGGCCACAUUGGGACUGAGACACGGCCCAAACUCCUACGGGAGGCAGCAGUAGGGAAUCUUCGGCAAUGGACGAAAGUCUGACCGAGCAACGCCGCGUGAGUGAAGAAGGUUUUCGGAUCGUAAAACUCUGUUGGUAGAGAAGAACGUUGGUGAGAGUGGAAAGCUCAUCAAGUGACGGUAACUACCCAGAAAGGGACGGCUAACUACGUG
rnacentral:rRNA from 1 species